rnacentral:rRNA from 1 species
GACGUAGGGUGCGAGCGUUGUCCGGAUUUAUUGGGCGUAAAGAGCUCGUAGGCGGCUCGUCGCGUCGACCGUGAAAACCCGCGGCUUAACUGCGGGCUUGCGGUUGAUACGGGCGGGCUAGAGUUCGGUAGGGGAGACUGGAAUUCCUGGUGUAGCGGUGAAAUGCGCAGAUAUCAGGAGGAACACCUAUGGCGAAGGCAGCUCGCUGGGACGGUACUGACGCUGAGACGCGAAAGCGUGGGGAGCAAACAGG